GUCUAUUUGAGUGAGCCGUGAGCGCGCACCUAUCCAGGAUUGGUUUCACCUGGCUUAAUGAAUCCGUGUCUGCUCAUCCUGGCUUGGUCUUUGUGCAACCAAUUAAGCCUGGACGCACAUGUUUUGGCUUCAUUGAGCUCAGCUGAGUCAUUUAUCCCGGAUGUCUUAAUUCUACUUUUGUGCAACAGGCCCCAGUACAUUCGGGUCUUUAUUUAUUUAUUUUUAUUUAUAACGGAUGCAUCCUGCCUGUUUGGCCCUGUCCGGGGGUAUAAACAAAUAGUCGGAUAAAUUCAUUUUCAGAUAUAUUACAACCGAUUAAGACGAAACAACAACCAAAUGACUGGCCAAAUGAAGUCAAAAUUAUUGAUGAAAUCGAAGGGUCGAUGGUGAUUUGCGAUUCAAAACGUACAUUUUACCGAUAGUAGUAGUAGGCCAAACACGACGGAAUGCGUUUGAGGUGAUUGCGCCGCCGAGAACAGCACAGCUUCCGUCCCUCUCCUCGCCCCUAUCUGGGCUCGAACCAGGGACCCUCUGCACACAUAGACAACAGCCACCCCCGAAGCAUCGUUACCCAUGACGCUACAAAUGCCGCGGCCCUUACAGGGAAAAGGGAACUACUACUUCAAGGUCUCAGAGCGGGUGACGUCACCGAAUGAAACGCUAUUAUCGCGCACCCCGCUAACUAGCUAGCCAUUUCACAUCAGUUACACUAGCAUGUCCAGCAAAGUACAUCCCCAGUGGCACGCACAUACUUCGUGUAGAUCAGCAGGUGGGGGCUUUUCGUGGCAGCCAGGACCUGAGCCCUAGGACCAUGCCUCAGGACUACCUGGCCUGAUGACUCCUUGCUGUCUCCAGUCCACCUGGCCAUGCUGCUGCUCCAGUUUCAACCGUUCUGCCUGCGGCUAUGGAACCCUGACCUGUUCACUGGACGUGCUACCUGUCCCAGUCCUGCUGUUUUCAACUGUCUAGAGACAGCAGGAGCGGUAGAGAUACUACUCUAAAUGAUGGGCUAUGAAAAGCCAACUGACGUUUACUCCUGAGGUGCUGACCUGUUGCACCCUCGACAACCACUGAUUAUUAUUAUUUGACCCUGCUGGUCAUCUAUGAACAUUUGAACAUCUUGGCCAUGUUCUGUUAUAAUCUCCACCCGGCCCAGCCAGAAGAGGACUGGCCACCCCUCAUAGCCUGGUUUCUUCCUAGGUUCUGCCCUUUCUAGGGAGUUUUUCCUAGCCACCGUGCUUCUAUACCUGCAUUGCUUUCUGUUUGAGGGUUUAGGCUGGGUUUCUGUACAGCACUUUGAGAUAUCAGCUGAUGUAAGAAGGGCUUUAUAAAUACAGUUGAUUUGAAAUAUGACAGGCCUAAUCAUAUUUGUAUGAAUAUUUUGUUAACGCCUAGGCUAUAGCGUUGCAGUCAGUUAAUGAACUCAUUAUGCAUCAACAUUUUAAUUUGAUUACAAUUAUUUAUUGUCAAUGAUUCUUGUAUUUGUUAGGCUUAACAAUUAAGUAGAUUAAU
rnacentral:lncRNA from 1 species